rnacentral:rRNA from 1 species
GUGGGGAAUAUUGGACAAUGGGCGAAAGCCUGAUCCAGCCAUGCCGCGUGUGUGAAGAAGGUCUUCGGAUUGUAAAGCACUUUAAGUUGGGAGGAAGGGCAGUAAGUUAAUACCUUGCUGUUUUGACGUUACCGACAGAAUAAGCACCGGCUAACUUCGUGCCAGCAGCCGCGGUAAUACGAAGGGUGCAAGCGUUAAUCGGAAUUACUGGGCGUAAAGCGCGCGUAGGUGGUUUUGUAAGUUGGAGGUGAAAUCCCCGGGCUCAACCUGGGAACUGCCUCCAAAACUGCAUGACUAGAGUACGGUAGAGGGUAGUGGAAUUUCCUGUGUAGCGGUGAAAUGCGUAGAUAUAGGAAGGAACACCAGUGGUGAAGGCGACUACCUGGACUGAUACUGACACUGAGGUGCGAAAGCGUGGGGAGCAAACAGGAUUAGAAACCCGUGUAGUCC